GGAGAGGUGGCAGAGUGGUCGAUUGCGUCUGACUUGAAAUCAGAUGAGUCCGCAAGGGCUCCGGGAGUUCGAAUCUCCCCCUCUCCG
rnacentral:tRNA from 3 species